rnacentral:rRNA from 1 species
AGCCUUAAGUAUCAUUUAAGGUAAGCCCUGCCCAGUGAAAUUUAUAAUUUUUAACGGCCGCAGUACCUUGACUGUGCUAAGGUAGCAAAAUCAGUUGGCUUUUAAAUGGAGUCGAGUAUGAACGGGUUGACUGGAAAACUACUGUCUCUUUUUUAUUUAAUUGAACUUUAUUAAAGGGUGAAAAUUCCCUUGUAAAGAAAAAAGACGAGAAGACCCUAAGAGUUUUGAAAAUAUAGUUAUAAUUAGCUAGUUUUUUUGUUGGGGCAACAAGAAGACAAAAUAAUUCUUCUGAAAAAUAUUUAUAUGCCAAAAUUGUUAAGAACGACUAAACUACCCUAGGGAUAACAGCAUAAUUUUUCAAAAGUUUGUGACCUCGAUGUUGGACUAGGAACUUAAUGACUAGCCGUCAAAAUAGUUUGUUCUGUUCGAACAAUUUCUCCU